rnacentral:tRNA from 2 species
GGGCCCGUAGCUCAGCGGUCAGAGCAGCGGACUCAUAAUCCGUUGGUCCCUGGUUCGAAUCCAGGCGGGCCCACCA